rnacentral:lncRNA from 1 species
AAGGUUAGAAGAUACUCUAGGAAAUAUAAAGUCCAGUGAUGAAUUGUAUCAAAAGUACAAAGUUCAGUUGGAAAAUUUUAAAACAAUGAAGAAAUGUUCAACCUAAGAUCGAAGGCAACAAAAAUCAUUGAUAGCUGGAAGUUCAAUCCAAGUGGUAAGAUCAUCUCAAAUAAAACAUAAUAAGCAAGAUCACAAGAAGCAAUCACUUGAUCAAC